GGGGGGGGGGGGGGGGGGGGCGGGCGGAGGGGGGGCGGGGGGGGGGCGGGGGCUGGCUCCUGGAUUCAGCGGCGGACGGGGGAGUAAUGCCUAGGAAUCUGCCUGGUAGUGGGGGAUAACGGCCGGAAACGGGCGCUAAUACCGCAUACGUCCUGAGGGAGCAAGGGGGGAAUCUUCGGACCUCACGCCACCAGAUGAGCCUAGGUCGGAUUAGCUGGGUGGUGGGGUAAAGGCCUACCAAGGCCACGAUCCGUAACUGGUCUGAGAGGAUGAUCAGUCACACUGGAACUGAGACACGGUCCAGACUCCUACGGGAGGCAGCAGUGGGGAAUAUUGGACAAUGGGCGAAAGCCUGAUCCAGCCAUGCCGCGUGUGUGAAGAAGGUCUUCGGAUUGUAAAGCACUUUAAGUUGGGAGGAAGGGCAGUAAGUUAAUACCUUGCUGUUUUGACGUUACCAACAGAAUAAGCACCGGCUAACUUCGUG
rnacentral:rRNA from 1 species